rnacentral:tRNA from 1 species
AUGAAUAGAAGUCAAAAAGAGACAAAUUAUUGUUAAUAAUUUUAUUGAAUAAAAUCCUGUUCA